rnacentral:rRNA from 1 species
UACGGGGGGGGCAAGCGUUGUUCGGAAUUACUGGGCGUAAAGGGCUCGUAGGCGGCCAACUAAGUCAGACGUGAAAUCCCCAGGCUCAACCUGGGAACUGCGUCUGAUACUGGAUGGCUUGAAUCCGGGAGAGGGAUGCAGAAUUCCAGGUGUAGCGGUGAAAUGCGUAGAUAUCUGGAGGAACACCGGUGGCGAAGGCGGCAUCCUGGACCGGCAUUGACGCUGAGGCGCGAAAGCUAGGGGAGCAAACGGG